rnacentral:rRNA from 1 species
GUGCCAGCCGCCGCGGUAAUUCCAGCUCCAAUAGCGUAUAUUAAAGUUGUUGUGGUUAAAAAGCUCGUAGUUGAACCUUGGGCCUGGCUGGCCGGUCCGCCUCACCGCGUGCACUGGUCCGGCCGGGCCUUUCCCUCUGUGGAACCCCAUACCCUUCACUGGGCGUGGCGGGGAAACAGGACAUUUACUUUGAAAAAAUUAGAGUGCUCCAGGCAGGCCUAUGCUCGAAUACAUUAGCAUGGAAUAAUAAAAUAGGACGCGCGGUUCUAUUUUGUUGGUUUAUAGGACCGCCGUAAUGAUUAAUAGGGACAGUCGGGGGCAUCAGUAUUCAACUGUCAGAGGUGAAAUUCUUGGAUCAGUUGAAGACUAACUACUGCGAAAGCAUUUGCCAAGGAUGUUUUCAUUAAUCAGGAACGAAAGUUAGGGGAUCGAAGACGAUCAGAUACCGUCGUAGCCUUAACCAUAAACUAUGCCGACUAGGGAUCGGACGGUGUUAUUCAUGACCCGUUCGGCACCUUACGAGAAAUCAAAGUGCUUGGGCUCCAGGGGGAGUAUGGUCGCAAGGCUGAAACUUAAAGAAAUUGACGGAAGGGCACCACCAGGGGUGGAGCCUGCGGCUUAAUUUGACUCAACACGGGGAAACUCACCAGGUCCAGACACAAUAAGGAUUGACAGAUUGAGAGCUCUUUCUUGAUUUUGUGGGUGGUGGUGCAUGGCCGUUCUUAGUUGGUGGGGUGACUUGUCUGCUUAAUUGCGAUAACGAACGAGACCUUAACCUGCUAAAUAGCCCGCAUUGCUCCGGCAGUGCGCUGGCUUCUUAGAGGGACUUUCG